rnacentral:rRNA from 1 species
GAUGAACGCUGGCGGCGUGCCUAAUACAUGCAAGUCGAGCGAACAGAUGAGGAGCUUGCUCCUCUGACGUUAGCGGCGGACGGGUGAGUAACACGUGGAUAACCUACCUAUAAGACUGGGAUAACUUCGGGAAACCGGAGCUAAUACCGGAUAAUAUAUUGAACCGCAUGGUUCAAUAGUGAAAGACGGUUUUGCUGUCACUUAUAGAUGGAUCCGCGCCGCAUUAGCUAGUUGGUAAGGUAACGGCUUACCAAGGCAACGAUGCGUAGCCGACCUGAGAGGGUGAUCGGCCACACUGGAACUGAGCCACGGUCAAGACUCCUGCGGGAGGCAGCAGUAGGGAAUCUUCCGCAAUGGGCGAAAGCCUGGCGGAGCAACGCCGCGUGAGUGAUGAAGGUCUUCGGAUCGUAAAACUCUGUUAUUAGGGAAGAACAAAUGUGUAAGUAACUAUGCACGUCUUGACGGUACCUAAUCAGAAAGCCACGGCUAACUACGUG